rnacentral:rRNA from 1 species
UUUGAUUCUGGCUCAGAAUCAACGCUGGCGGCGUGCCUAACACAUGCAAGUCGAACGAGAAAGUGGGGGCAACCCUGCGAGUACAGUGGCAGACGGGUGAGUAACACGUGAACAACCUACCCUUGAGUGGGGAAUAACACCGCGAAAGCGGUGCUAAUACCGCAUAAAAUCUUCGGGUCGCAUGACGUGGAGAUCAAAAGCGCAAGUUGCUUGAGGAGGGGUUCGCGGCUGAUUAGCUAGUUGGUGAGGUAACGGCCCACCAAGGCAACGAUCAGUAGCCGGCCUGAGAGGGCGAACGGCCACACUGGAACUGGGACACGGUCCAGACUCCUACGGGAGGCAGCAGUGGGGAAUUUUGCGCAAUGGGCGAAAGCCUGACGCAGCAACGCCGCGUGGAGGAUGAAGGCCUUCGGGUCGUAAACUCCUGUCGAUGGGGACGAAGUUCUCGCAAGAGGAUUGACUGUACCCGUUGAGGAAGCCACGGCUAACUCCGUGCCAGCAGCCGCGGUAAUACGGGGGUGGCAAGCGUUGUUCGGAAUUACUGGGCGUAAAGGGCGCGUAGGCGGCAUAACAAGUCAGAUGUGAAAGCCCCGAGCUCAACUCGGGAACUGCAUCUGAAACUGUAUUGCUUGAGUUCUGGAGGGGGUAGUGGAAUUCCCAGUGUAGCGGUGAAAUGCGUAGAUAUUGGGAGGAACACCUGCGGCGAAGGCGGCUACCUGGACAGUGACUGACGCUGAGGCGCGAAAGCUAGGGGAGCGAACGGGAUUAGAUACCCCGGUAGUCCUAGCCGUAAACGAUGGGCACUUGGUGUUGGGGGUAUUGAGUCCCUCGGUGCCGGAGCUAACGCGAUAAGUGCCCCGCCUGGGGAGUACGGUCGCAAGACUGAAACUCAAAGGAAUUGACGGGGGCCCGCACAGCGGUG